CAAUAGCGUAUAUUAAAGUUGUUGCAGUUAAAAAGCUCGUAGUUGGAUUUCUGGUGGGAGCACGGGUCGGCCCUCACGGGUUGUACUGUUGUUGCGUCCUGCCGUUUCGGAGGGAAUGGUCUCGCUAUUAGGUUAGUGGGGUCGGGAACUCUGUCGUUUACUGUGAAAAAAUUAGAGUGUUCAAAGCAGGCCUUCGCUGUGAAUACAUUAGCAUGGAAUAAUAAGAUAGGACUAUGGUGCUAUUUUGUUGGUUUGCGUACUAUGGUAAUGAUUAAUAGGGAUAGUUGGGGGUAUUCAUAUUCAAUUGUCAGAGGUGAAAUUCUUGGAUUUAUGGAAGAUGAACUACUGCGAAAGCAUUUACCAAGGAUGUUUUCAUUA
rnacentral:rRNA from 1 species